AUUGAACGCUGGCGGCAGGCCUAACACAUGCAAGUCGAGCGGAUGAAGGGAGCUUGCUCCUGGAUUCAGCGGCGGACGGGUGAGUAAUGCCUAGGAAUCUGCCUGGUAGUGGGGGAUAACGUCCGGAAACGGGCGCUAAUACCGCAUACGUCCUAAGGGAGAAAGUGGGGGAUCUUCGGACCUCACGCUAUCAGAUGAGCCUAGGUCGGAUUAGCUAGUUGGUGGGGUAAAGGCCUACCAAGGCGACGAUCCGUAACUGGUCUGAGAGGAUGAUCAGUCACACUGGAACUGAGACACGGUCCAGACUCCUACGGGAGGCAGCAGUGGGGAAUAUUGGACAAUGGGCGAAAGCCUGAUCCAGCCAUGCCGCGUGUGUGAAGAGGGUCUUCGGAUUGUAAAGCACUUUAAGUUGGGAGGAAGGGCAGUAAGUUAAUACCUUGCUGUUUUGACGUUACCAACAGAAUAAGCACCGGCUAACUUCGUG
rnacentral:rRNA from 1 species